CAUUUUAAUCAUCGUUUUCACUUAUUAUUAUUACUUUCUGCAGUGCUGAGGAUGGAUCCCAAGGGCACGCAAUGCUGGGGCAAGGCAACUUCUUGACUCUAAAGAAGUCACAUGCCACAGUGAUUUAGAGAUGAAAAAGAAAAGAGAUUACUGCAGUUUGGCCCUUCACUUCUGAUUUACUGUGUGUGCAUCUUCCGUGUGGCCUGCGGGGGCCCUGUUAUUUUGGUACACAUCCCAAGUGUCAUACUG
rnacentral:lncRNA from 1 species